UGGGGGAUUUUCCGCAAUGGGCGAAAGCCUGACGGAGCAAUACCGCGUGCGGGAGGAAGGCCUUUGGGUCGUAAACCGCUUUUAACAGGGAAGAAGAUCUGACGGUACCUGUUGAAUAAGCCUCGGCUAACUCCGUGCCAGCAGCCGCGGUAAGACGGAGGAGGCAAGCGUUAUCCGGAAUUAUUGGGCGUAAAGCGUCCGCAGGUGGCGCUUCAAGUCUGCUGUCAAAGACCAGAGCUCAACUCUGGGCAGGCGGUGGAAACUGGGGAGCUAGAGUACGGUAGGGGUAGAGGGAAUUUCCAGUGUAGCGGUGAAAUGCGUAGAGAUUGGAAAGAACACCAGUGGCGAAGGCGCUCUACUGGACCUGUACUGACACUAAGGGACGAAAGCUAGGGGAGCGAAAGGGAUUAGAUACCCCCGUAGUCC
rnacentral:rRNA from 1 species